GACGAACGCUGGCGGCGUGCCUAAUACAUGCAAGUAGAACGCACAGUUUAUACCGUAGCUUGCUACACCAUAGACUGUGAGUUGCGAACGGGUGAGUAACGCGUAGGUAACCUGCCUGGUAGCGGGGGAUAACUAUUGGAAACGAUAGCUAAUACCGCAUAAUAUUAAUUAUUGCAUGAUAAUUAAUUGAAAGGUGCAAUUGCACCACUACCAGAUGGACCUGCGUUGUAUUAGCUAGUAGGUGAGGUAACGGCUCACCUAGGCGACGAUACAUAGCCGACCGGAGAGGGUGAUCGGCCACACUGGGGCUGAGACACGGCCCAGACUCCUACGGGAGGCAGCAGUAGGGAAUCUUCGGCAAUGGACGAAAGUCUGACCGAGCAACGCCGCGUGAGUGAAGAAGGUUUUCGGAUCGUAAAGCUCUGUUGUAAGAGAAGAACGGGUGUGAGAGUGGAAAGUUCACACUGUGACGGUAUCUUACCAGAAAGGGACGGCUAACUACGUG
rnacentral:rRNA from 1 species